rnacentral:rRNA from 1 species
CUCUCUUGAGUGGAUCCUGAGUACGACGGAGCACGUGAAAUUCCGUCGGAAUCUGGGAGGACCAUCUCCUAAGGCUAAAUACUCUCUAGUGACCGAUAGUGAACCAGUACCGUGAGGGAAAGGUGAAAAGCACCCCGGAAGGGGAGUGAAAUAGAACCUGAAACCGUGUGCUUACAAGUAGUCAGAGCCCGUUAAUGGGUGAUGGCGUGCCUUUUGUAGAAUGAACCGGCGAGUUACGAUUUGAUGCAAGGUUAAGCAGUAAAUGUGGAGCCGUAGCGAAAGCGAGUCUGAAUAGGGCGUUUAGUAUUUGGUCGUAGACCCGAAACCAGGUGAUCUACCCUUGGUCAGGUUGAAGUUCAGGUAACACUGAAUGGAGGACCGAACCGACUUACGUUGAAAAGUGAGCGGAUGAACUGAGGGUAGCGGAGAAAUUCCAAUCGAACCUGGAGAUAGCUGGUUCUCUCCGAAAUAGCUUUAGGGCUAGCCUCAAGUGAUGAUUAUUGGAGGUAGAGCACUGUUUGGACGAGGGGCCCCUCUCGGGUUACCGAAUUCAGACAAACUCCGAAUGCCAAUUAAUUUAACUUGGGAGUCAGAACAUGGGUGAUAAGGUCCGUGUUCGAAAGGGAAACAGCCCAGACCACCAGCUAAGGUCCCAAAAUAUAUGUUAAGUGGAAAAGGAUGUGGCGUUGCCCAGACAACUAGGAUGUUGGCUUAGAAGCAGCCAUCAUUUAAAGAGUGCGUAAUAGCUCACUAGUCGAGUGACACUGCGCCGAAAAUGUACCGGGGCUAAACAUAUUACCGAAGCUGUGGAUUGUCCUUUGGACAAUGGUAGGAGAGCGUUCUAAGGGCGUUGAAGCAUGAUCGUAAGGACAUGUGGAGCGCUUAGAAGUGAGAAUGCCGGUGUGAGUAGCGAAAGACGGGUGAGAAUCCCGUCCACCGAUUGACUAAGGUUUCCAGAGGAAGGCUCGUCCGCUCUGGGUUAGUCGGGUCCUAAGCUGAGGCCGACAGGCGUAGGCGAUGGAUAACAGGUUGAUAUUCCUGUACCACCUAUA